GAACAUAGGUCUUAUGGGUUUGGAACGACACAAGUAAACUGUCCUGAGAGAUUUUCAAAUCAUCAUCAGCUGUUGCAGACAGGCCCGGAAAAUCAGCUGAGGGUUGUGGGCUUCCAACAUUCCUGGUUUCACUGCUUGUCUCCGCGGUGACUGAGCGCUGAAUCGCUGUGACCGAUGGGACUGUCACCCAUCCAUCUUCACUGGCCUGGCUGCAGAUUAAAGCAGAAGGAUGCAUAAAUCAGAGCGCUAAUGAAUAGCUCUACUCAGCAGAGGAGAGAGGCUUACCUAUUUUUCUCGGCCCACUCAG